UACGGGGGGGGCAAGCGUUGUUCGGAAUUACUGGGCGUAAAGGGCUCGUAGGUGGCCAACUAAGUCAGACGUGAAAUCCCACGGCUCAACCGUGGAACUGCUGGGUAUACUGGCGGUCUUGAGCCACCUAGGGGCGAGCGGAACAAGCGGUGGAGCGGUGAAAUGCGUAGAUAUCGCUUGGAACGCCGACGGUGAAAACAGCUCGCUGGGGGUGUGCUGACGCUGAGACACGAAAGCCAGGGGAGCGAACGGG
rnacentral:rRNA from 1 species